GACGAACGCUGGCGGCGUGCCUAAUACAUGCAAGUCGAACGCAGUGGGGCCGGGUGAGUAACACGUGGGUAACCUCCCAUCAGAGGGGAUAACACUUGGAAACAGGUGCUAAACCGAUACUGAUGGAUGGACCCGCGGUGCAUUAGCUAGUUGGUGAGGUAACGGCUCACCAAGGCCACGAUGCAUAGCCGAACGGAGAGUGUGAUCAUGCACACGGGGACGGAGACACGGCCCAGACUCCGACGGGAGGCAGCAGGGGGGAGUCUUAGGUGAUGGAGGAAAGUAGAACCGAGCAACGGCGCGUGAGUGAAGAAGGUUUACGGAUGGUGAAACUCUGUGGUUAGUGGAGCGGUAUCUGACCAGAAAGCCACGUCUCACUCCGUGUCAUCAGCCGCGGUAAUAC
rnacentral:rRNA from 1 species